UGGCAAUUGUUCCUCGUGCAGUCCUUUCAGUAACUGCAAGAUUUCAAAUUGCCAUAGAGCAAAUAUGGAUUGCUUCACCCAGAAUUGUUCUGUGUGUAACACUGUUUGGCUUUGCGGAUCCAUAAUU